GGGGUAAACGCUGGGUAGCUAUGUCUGGAGCAAAUAACUGCUGAAAGCAUAUAAGUAGGAAGUUCACCUUAAGAUGAGUGCUCUUUUGUCUCAACCGUUCAUCCUUCUAUAAAGGUAUGUACAACCGAAAGACAAGGAAGGUCACGGCAAGACGAGCCGUUUGAUAGGCAUGAAGUAGACGUGCAGUAAUGCAUUCUGAAGCUGACAUGUCCUAAUAGACCGAGGGAUUUGAUUU
rnacentral:rRNA from 1 species